ACUACGGGUGGCAGCAGUGAGGAAUAUUGGUCAAUGGGCGGAAGCCUGAACCAGCCAAGUAGCGUGCAGGAUGACGGCCCUACGGGUUGUAAACUGCUUUUAUACGGGAAUAACGCGCCUUACGUGUAGGGCUUUGCAUGUACCGUAUGAAUAAGGACCGGCUAAUUCCGUGCCAGCAGCCGCGGUAAUACGGAAGGUCCGGGCGUUAUCCGGAUUUAUUGGGUUUAAAGGGAGCGUAGGCCGCAUGCAAAGCUUGCUGUGAAAUGUCCGGGCUCAACCCGGGCCUUGCAGCGCGAACUGGCGUGCUUGAGUCCGCGGAAAGCAGGCGGAAUUCGUCGUGUAGCGGUGAAAUGCUUAGAUAUGACGAAGAACCCCGAUUGCGAAGGCAGCUUGCUGCAGCGGAACUGACGCUGAUGCUCGAAAGCGCGGGUAUCGAACAGGAUUAGAUACCCUGGUAGUC
rnacentral:rRNA from 1 species